rnacentral:misc_RNA from 1 species
GGGCGGGAUUCUGAAUACACCAGACAUUUGAAGAACAACAAUAGCAUGCCUGCAGAGAUAACCUUUGUAUUCAAAUGAACGACAUAAACAACAUAUUUCCGAUUUUGAUUCAUUCCACUCCACCAUAUAAUUUUGAUUAUCUUCAAAAUCUUUUACGGUAUAAAUUGUGGUAGUCUCAUCCUCAGUUUCUUCUUUCUUGAGAUGACAAGCAGCUGCUCCCAAAACCUCAAAUUGAAAUUUCUUGAAAAUCUCAUGUGUGUAUACAAAUGACAUUUGUUUCUCAAAAGGUGAUGGAGACUUCAUCUCUGGCGUCUCAUGCCAAGAAUCAAAAUCUGCUCUGGCUUCUUCCUCAUACCUAUCUUCAAGAAUUAAUUUGUAUUGCUCUAUAAACUCUCUCAUUGAUGUUUCCCAAUGCACAUAUU